CCUGAGAAACCCAAAAGAUCGAAUGGGGAGAUUCACCGUCAGCGUGGCUGGCUUCCGUGCGGAUCGCGAUGGCCGGGACCUCGGUCUCGCGUCACGCGUCCGCUGCGGUAUGUCCGGCUACGUCGGCGUGCACUUCUCCCCUAGUAGGACGUCGCGACCCGUUGGGUGUCGGACCGAUGGCCGUUUGGUCGCCUGUCUCGUCGCGUUCACGCGUGCACGGGGCAGACCGAAAUGGUCGAGCGUCCGGCUGCCCGGCGGUAUAGAACGCUAUUGAACGGUAAUGGGCCGCAUUAAGUGCGUCCAGGCUCGUCGGCAGGCUCGUCUCGCCCGGAUUUACGGACCUAGCGCCGUUGCCGGGUGCUUGGCGUGGCCGUUAGUCGACGAUGUCCUCGGACUGGCUCUAAAUUCGAAAGGAUUACCGGUCGGCGACGCUACUGCUUUGGGUACUUUCAGGACCCGUCUUGAAACACGGACCAAA
rnacentral:rRNA from 1 species